UUCCAACGCCAUUUUCAUGUCAAGUUCAUGAAAAUCAAUUUCUUUCCAUGUGAUUUUCCUUGUUUCUUCUCAUUUCCUUUCUUUUCUUAAUUCUUUCUUCUCCAAACUUCUUGGGUACUAAACCUGAAGCUUUUAACCCUAAUUUCCAGCACAUCGAAACCUUAGGAGAAGAAGAAAGAAAAAGAGAGAAAGGAAGAAAAAGCUUGGUUUUGUAAUUUAAGAAAGCUAAGGUAAGGAUUUUGUGUUUUUAGUUCAUUGUUGGUUAAAUCUUUGGAAAAAUAAUGAGUGAAUCAUUUUGUGGCAGCUAUGGUGGCCAUGGGUGUGAGGGAAUUAUGAAUUUUGUUGGGUGAAAUCUAAGCUAAAACCAAGUGGAAGUGCAAAGGUAAAGUUAGAGUACUGUGGUGGUGUGCCGGGGGAACUAAUGAGCGACCGGCAAGUAGGAAUAGCUAGCUACACCUCCGAACAAAUAGCGAUGUAAUGUCC
rnacentral:lncRNA from 1 species